CCACAGCUUAAAACUCAAAGGACUUGGCGGUGCCCUAUACCCCCUAGAGGAGCCUGUUCUGUAAUCGAUAUUCCCCGAUAAACCUCACCACCUCUCGCUAAUACAGCCUAUAUACCACCGUCCUCAGCUUACCCCUCAAAGGGAAAAUAGUAAGCAAAAUCAUUUUAAAUAAAAAAGUCAGGUCAAGGUGUAGCAAAUGAGGCGGAAAGAAAUGGGCUACAUUUUCUAUUAUAGAAUAUACAAAAUGUUUUAUGAAAUAUAACAUGAAGGAGGAUUUAGAAGUAAAAGGAAAAAAGAGUGUUCUUUUUAAAUCGGCAAUAGAGCGCGCACACACCGCCCGUCACCCUCCUUACAUACCAGAAAAUUAAAUAAAUAUUAAUAUAACAAGAGGAGAUAAGUCGUAACAUGGUAAGCCUACCGGAAGGUGGGCUUGGCUAUUAGAAUAUAGCCUUAA
rnacentral:misc_RNA from 1 species